ensembl:lncRNA
UUCAUGUAACAUAUCAGACUGCAUUCCAAAAAUAUGUUAAUACCAUAUAUUAGAAUAAUUUGGCUAUGGAGGCUUAAUGAUAAUGAUGGCUAAAUGAAAAUUACCCCACUAUAUUUCCUCAAUAUAUUAUAUUCCAUAUUUUAAAUACUGUGACAGUUCCUGCAGUCUGGUUUGAAAAAGGGGGGACCGGCAUGUUAGCAAUAAUGUGUUCAUUAUAUAUCAGUGCUAAACAUGAGCAUCGUUCGUUGUUGGGGAACUAGUCAGCCUUCUUGAGUAGGACUAAGGGGUUUCUGGACCUGAGGUUUAAGCAACGUGUAGCAGCAGGGGGUGCCGCGGAAGAUUGGAGAGGCUCUGAGUGGUUCUUUCGAGUUUCCUUCAUUACCAAACGGGCUGACGGAGUGAGUGGGACGCUGUGGCACCAUGCUCCAUCCCCUGGCUGUGUUCGUGCUGGUCGUCAACGUGUCCAUCACCGUCUUCUACUGGCUGUUCAUCCUGACUGAGGCCUUCAAGCAGAGGAAAGCGGAGGACCAACAGCCUGCAUAAAAGGUCUUUUGCAAGAAAGUGGAAGAUGACCCGGAACACGCGGUCCCCAUCACAGCAUGAAUAAGGUAGCUGUUGUUUCCGCCACGGGCCCUGUUAUUGUGGUAGAAAUGAAUGAUUAUAUUCUAAGUACACAUUCCUGGCUCCUUCCCGCAGGGGGCUUGCUUCAAGUCAAAAGGACCCAACCACAGCAAGAUAGAGCAGAGCGGUGGAGAAGAGGGGCCGGAUCAUUUCCAGAAUACUUUCAUUGCUCCUACAUUCAUGGUUUUGAAGCGUGGUUCAGUUGUUGUUCAUCUAACACUUACCGUUACUGGAACGGUUUGUAUACAAAGAUGAAAGAAUCAAGGCAAAAUUGGAGCCAACCAAAUUUUCCGCUCAGAUAUCUUUUCAUCUUAGUACUCCUUUCAACAGCACAAAACAUUUGAAGGUGAGGUGAGGUGUGCCCUUCAGAUUCAACACAUUUUAUCAAAGGUACAGUGUGUAGAAUUGAGGGGCAUCCAGCAGAAUAGACUUGUCCAAAAUGGAAUGUAAAAUUCAUAAGUUUUCAGUUGGUUGCAAUCUUUCAUAACCAAUUUCAAACAACAAAUAUACCUCUUUUGAAAUCGUCCAAGUACCCCCUCCAAUCCUCCAUAGAUAAGUUUUAAUAUCAGAAAAUCAUCCCCAUUGAUUGAUAGAUGAGUCUAAUUAGGUUUCAUUAAUUUGAUAUGAUAUGGAUAUAGGAUGUAUGACACAUAUAUAUGUGAAAAUUAUAUAGAUUAUAUAUAAAUUAUAAAGAAAAUACAUAGUUGGAAAUGCAGUGUGUUACAAAAUAAAAAUAUAUAUUGUGUUUUCAAAGCUGAAAUUGUGUUUGUUGUAGUAAUACUUUGGCACUUGUUUAAGAGACAUUAAUAGGUGAUGCUAAUGUUAAAGCUAAACUAGGUUCCCUAUUAUAACAAUCCCUCCCUCCAAAAAUAUCAUCAUUAAUAUAAUCAACAUUUGAUGAGUCAUUGUCACCAGCAUGAGUAUGAAAACAUGGCAAAUAAGCUUGACCUAUCACCUUUCAACCCAACCCUAGAGCUUGGAAAGAAUAUCAUCUGGGGAAUUGCUUUUGUUUGUUGUGUGUUUUGUAUAAUUACAAUGAAAUGAAUGGCCUUGCCCUUCAACAUUAAAAACACUGGAAUAAUUAAACGUAGCCUUAUAAUUUAUUGUCAAUAUAACAUAUUGAGGGUUAAUGCUUGACAAUUCCCUUCGUGAAUAAUGGUUACUGAACUG